rnacentral:rRNA from 1 species
GGAUGAACGCUGGCGGCGUGCCUAAUACAUGCAAGUCGAACGCUGGAAAUCUAGCUUGCUAGAUUGAAGGAGUGGCGAACGGGUGAGUAAUACAUAAGCAACCUACCCACGAAGACUGGGAUAAUCUCUGGAAACGGGGACUAAUACCGGAUAGGUAAUCGGAAGGCAUCUUCUGAUUAUUAAAGGUUAAAAACACUGGUGGAUGGGCUUAUGGCGCAUUAGUUAGUUGGUGAGGUAACGGCCCACCAAGACGAUGAUGCGUAGCCGGCCUGAGAGGGUGAACGGCCACAUUGGGACUGAGACACGGCCCAGACUCCUACGGGAGGCAGCAGUAGGGAAUUUUCGGCAAUGGGGGAAACCCUGACCGAGCAACGCCGCGUGAGUGAUGACGGCCUUCGGGUUGUAAAGCUCUGUUGUAAGGGAAGAACGGUAGAUAGAGAAUAUCUAAAUGACGGUACCUUACCAGAAAGCCACGGCUAACUACGUG